rnacentral:rRNA from 1 species
GUGCCUACGGGACGCAGCAGUGGGGGAUAUUGCACAAUGGAGGAAACUCUGAUGCAGCGACGCCGCGUGAGGGAAGACGGUCUUCGGAUUGUAAACCUCUGUCUUUGGGGAAGAAAAUGACGGUACCCAAAGAGGAAGCUCCGGCUAACUACGUGCCAGCAGCCGCGGUAAUACGUAGGGAGCGAGCGUUGUCCGGAAUUACUGGGUGUAAAGGGAGCGUAGGCGGGGAUGCAAGUUGGGUGUCAAAACUACCGGCUCAGCUGGUAGUCGCACUCAAAACU